GGAAGGAUCAUUGUCGAAACCUGC
rnacentral:rRNA from 1 species